CCUACGGGAGGCAGCAGUAAGGAAUAUUGGUCAAUGGACGCAAGUCUGAACCAGCCAUGCCGCGUGCAGGAUGACGGCCCUCUGGGUUGUAAACUGCUUUUAUACGGGAAGAAACCUCUGGUUGCGAUCAGAGCUGACGGUACCGUAAGAAUAAGGACCGGCUAACUUCGUGCCAGCAGCCGCGGUAAUACGAAGGGUCCAAGCGUUAUCCGGAUUUAUUGGGUUUAAAGGGUGCGUAGGCGGCUUAUUAAGUCAGUGGUGAAAGACUUCAGCUUAACUGAAGAACUGCCAUUGAUACUGAUGAGCUUGAAUAUACUUGAGGUGGGCGGAAUGUGUCAUGUAGCGGUGAAAUGCUUAGAUAUGACACAGAACACCGAUUGCGAAGGCAGCUCGCUAAAGUAUGAUUGACGCUGAUGCACGAAGACGUGGGGAGGACAAACAGGAGUAGUAUACCUACGGUAGUACCGACCGACCCGUAACCGUUACGUAUAACUACGUAUGUGUGUCGAUAUACAGUACGCGUCCGAACGACGAAACGACGAUUAAGUUAAGUUACCUACCGUUACGGUUAAGGUACGGUUCGGUUCGAAGAGUUAGUUAACGUUAAAGUUAGUUAAGUUAGACGGCGUUGAGACGUUGCCGACGGACGACGACGAGGGGAGGUAGGAG
rnacentral:rRNA from 1 species